GCGGAGCGGAGCGGCCGCGCCCGCCCAGGGCCGAGUGAGGGAAGUGGCCGGGCCGGGCCGGGCAGGGCAGGGCCGGGCCGCGGGACUGAGCAUCGCCGCGCUGGGCCGUGCGGGGAGGCGGCGGCCCUCGGUAAAGGCUGACUGGAAGCGCACUUGGGGGGGUAGCGGCUGCAGACCUGGGCGUCUCGCUGUGGCUGUGCGGAACUUCCGCGCUCCAGGAAUGCGGGCUGCGGCCGCCGGAGGCUCCGGGCGCCGAGAACCGGGCAGCGUGGUGGGAUGGCUCGGGCUGCCGGGAGCGCGCUGGCCACGGAUACCCGUACCCUGAAAAGAAGGAAAUUCCUCUCCUAGGCUUAGUUAAGCUUGCGCUUGAAACCGCGACUCUAGGCUUUUACUGAAGAGAUGUGGAAUUCUUAAACAACGAUACCGUUUAGCUCUGUGAGCGGGUACUCUUUGCCUGUGCCUCUUCAUCUGUGCGCGAAUAAGGAUUUUGAGCUAGACCACUACAGCUGCUCUAUCCUUGGCCAUCUUUGCCAGCACAAGCUAAAAGUUAAAUCAUCAGAAUUUCUGCAUAUGGCAAACUACAGAUGACUUUGGGAUAUCACCACUUAAAAGAUUUGCCCACGAUCAUGGAGCACAGUUGGGUGUGAAAUCUCGGACCUCAGUCUCUCCGUGCUGGUACAAGUCUGACCUUCCCUCCCAUGUAAGAAAGGCUGUGUGCUCAGACAGCUUGUUUAAUGGGAUACAAAGGACUGCUUUUCUGUUGUUUCUGUAUGUUCCCAGCACUGUAGUAGAAAAAUUAUUUGUCAUGGCAUGUCUUACUCAGAAGUCCUGGGAUCUGCUAUAUAAACAUGAAACACUAGUUCUAAUUAUGCAAAGGAAUAAUUUGCUAGAGAAUUUAGGUAAAUUUGGCGUGACAAUU